GGGCCCGCACAAGCGGUGGAGCAUGUGGUUUAAUUCGAUGCAACGCGAAGAACCUUACCAGGUCUUGACAUCCAAAGAACCCGGUGGAAACACUGGGGUGCCUUCGGGAGCUUUGAGACAGGUGGUGCAUGGUUGUCGUCAGCUCGUGUCGUGAGAUGUUGGGUUAAGUCCCGCAACGAGCGCAACCCUUGCUAUUAGUUGCUAACAGGUAGAGCUGAGCACUCUAAUGGGACUGCCCGUGACAAGCGGGAGGAAGGUGGGGAUGACGUCAAAUCAUCAUGCCCUUUAUGAUCUGGGCUACACACGUGCUACAAUGGAUGGUACAGAGAGCAGCGAGACUGUGAAGUGGAGCGAAUCUCAAAAAGCCAUUCUCAGUUCGGAUUGUAGUCUGCAACUCGACUACAUGAAGUCGGAAUCGCUAGUAAUCGCGAAUCAGCAUGUCGCGGUGAAUGCGUUCCCGGGCCUU
rnacentral:rRNA from 1 species